UACGUAGAGUGCGAGCGUUGUCCGGAAUUACUGGGCGUAAAGAGCUCGUAGGUGGUUUGUCGCGUUGUUCGUGAAAACUCACAGCUCAACUGUGGGCGUGCGGGCGAUACGGGCAGACUGGAGUACUGCAGGGGAGACUGGAAUUCCUGGUGUAGCGGUGGAAUGCGCAGAUAUCAGGAGGAACACCGGUGGCGAAGGCGGGUCUCUGGGCAGUAACUGACGCUGAGGAGCGAAAGCGUGGGGAGCGAACAGG
rnacentral:rRNA from 1 species